rnacentral:RNase_P_RNA from 3 species
AAAGCAGGCUUAUCUUAUCGUCUUAAUUUAAUUAAGAAGGAAAGUCCGGACACCAAAGAGUAUCAUAGCGGAUAACAUCCGUCCAGCGUAAGUUGAGGACAAGUGCAACAGAAAGCAAGUACAGUUCGGCUGUAGUGAAACCAGGUAAACUCUAUGAGGUGCAAUGUCAUGUAUAUUAGAACUUGAGAGCUACUCGCUCGAUUCUAAAGGGUAGACAGAUUGAUUCUAAGAGUAAUUUUAGAACUAGAUAAAUGAUAAGAGCCUUAUUUAUAAGGAACAGAAUUCGGCUUAUUAGCCUGCUUUUUUU